rnacentral:rRNA from 1 species
UCCGGUUGAUCCUGCCAGAGGCCGCUGCUAUCCGGCUGGGACUAAGCCAUGCUAGUCUAGGGGCUUGUACUCCUUCGGGGGUGCAAGCACCGGCGGACGGCUCAGUAACACGUGGACAACCUGCCCUCGGGUGGGGGAUAACCCCGGGAAACUGGGGCUAAACCCCCAUAGGGGAUGGGUGGUGGAAUUCCCCCAUCCCCGAAAGUGUGCGGUUGCCGUAAGGCGCCGCACAGCCCGAGGAUGGGGCUGCGGCGGAUUAGGUAGUUGGCGGGGUAACGGCCCGCCAAGCCGAAGAUCCGUACGGGCCAUGAGAGUGGGAGCCCGGAGAUGGCCCCUGAGACAAGGGGCCAGGCCCUACGGGGCGCACCAGGCGCGAAACCUCCGCAAUGCGGGAAACCGCGACGGGGUCGGCCGGAGUGCCCGCGCAUCGCGCGGGUUGUCGGGGAGCCUAAACAG